rnacentral:tmRNA from 1 species
GGGGAUGCUUAGGUUUCGACAGGGAUAAUGAACUAUGAAAGGCAGGCCGAAGGUACGCGUUAAGUACAAACAAAAAUAUCUGGAAACAGAAAUCAAUUAGCUUUCGCUUAAUAGAAUUGCGAGCUGCUUCUUUUAUCUUUUUCCUACGGGGAUAUAAGAAGCUCACUUAGUAGGAUAUAUUCUUGUAUUGUCUAGCUAUAAGAAUGAAUAUUAAUAGACUUAAUAAUAUAGAGUUUGUUAGUUGACUUAGUAUUAGGAUUUUCAAUAACUGACUAAGCUUGUAGAAUUUUAUAGGAAUUUAUUUUUGGACAGGAGUUCGAUUCUCCUCAUCUCCACCA